rnacentral:rRNA from 1 species
AUUGAACGCUGGCGGCAGGCCUAACACAUGCAAGUCGAACGAGUGGCGGACGGGUGAGUAAUGUCUGGGACACUGCCUGAUGGAGGGGGAUAACUACUGGAAACGGUAGCUAAUACCGCAUACCAUCGGAUGUGCCCAGAUGUGAUUUGCUAUUAGGUGGGGUAAAGGCUCACCUAGGCGACGAUCCCUAGCUGGUCUGAGAGGAUGACGAGCAACACGGGAACUAGGACAGGGUCCAGAUUCCUACGGGAGGCAGCAGUGGGGAAUAUUGCACAAUGGGCGCAGGCCGGAUGCAGCCAUGCCGCGGGGAUGAAGAGGGCCUUCGUGUUGUAAAGUACGUUCAGCGGGGAGGCGUUACCCGCAGAGGAAGCACCGGCUAACUCCGUGCCAGCAGCCGCGGUAAUUC